GUGGCGAUUAGGUCCGGGGCUUUUAUCUCCCUCGCACCUCCAGAUUGCAGCAUCGAUCUCAUCUUUAAAUCUUCAGGUUAAGUAUUGGUUCUCAUCUGCAGAUAUUAGAUUGAAAACAAUUGCAUCAAGCGUAGGCCUCUUCUAGUGACUUUCUUUAAAUUUCGACUAAAAGAAAUAUUUGAUGUGUUCUUUGACUCUUGUUGGAUCUUCAAUCCAAACUUCAUCAAUCAUUAUCCCUGCCAUCUCCUUGAGUCUCCUAUUUCUAUUAAUAGUGGAGUGAAAGAAUUUUGAAUUUGAAUCGUUAUUUCUGAUCCAUCUAACUUUCCAUAAAAGACCUAUAUGACAUUUUUGAACACAUUAUAUUGUUUCCUAGAUUAUCGGUUUUUGCUUUUUAAGGUACACCUGAAGGCUUUAAAAAACUAUUCUCUUAACUAGUGAUCGAUAAAAGACCUAUAUGACAUUUUCUCACACAUUUUUUCCUAGAUGACUGAUUUUUGCUUUUUUUGGUACAACUGAGGACUUUAAAAAACUAUUCUGAUUAUGUUGCGUUUACCAUAUUGCCUAUUAUCCUCGGAAAAAUACAUUCAAUUAUAAUUGCAAUUGUGUGGAAACUACUUACCAAAACCAUAACAUUAUAAUUUCAAUAAUUGUUGUGAACCCAAAAAUUUGAAGCAUCAAUUAACAAGUAUAACAUCUCACUUUAUCUUAAAAAUUUACAUAAUUGAAAUUCAUAAGUAAAAAAAUGUACACGUUACAUGCUCCUAUUGUACUAUACCUACUCCCUAAGAUGUAUAUAUUCUUUUGUGACAUAUGAGUGAUUUUUAUUUUUGGGAAAAUGAAGUUUACUUUUUAAACCGCUUGGAUCAGAGAUUUAACCUUUGUAAUUGAAUAGGACGCAUGCUGCAGCAAAGGACAUCCAAAUAGUACUCAUAUAUAUUCUUAUUGACCCAUGUAUUAACCUAAUUAAUGAAAGUUCGCCAAUGCAACAGAAAAACCCUAUAAAUCUCGGGUGCAUGCUCAUAUACAUAUUGAUCAGCAGGGUGUUAAGGACACACAACUUAAUUGCUAUGGCAAACUGUUUUGGCAUACACCAUAUAUACAAGUUAUAUCAUUAUGCUACAUGUAUAAGCUAAGGCUUAUUAUCAAAAGCUAGCAAGAUCCUGAAAAACUAAACCAUUGGGUGUUCUUUUAUAUCAAACUAAUACUAUACGUAACUUCUAAAUACUUUCCAUUCCAUUCCAUUCUCACAAUGCAUAUAUACCUGUGUGUGAAGAUGCAUGGCUUAAUGGCUUCUCUUGCUGAAAGAGAUUUCUCCUUCUAAAUGGUAAUUACAGGUACCAGUAUACCACAUCCACAAACCACAUGCGUCUUCUUGGAAAAUGCCACAUACUGAAGCGUG
rnacentral:lncRNA from 1 species